CGGAGUCACCGGUGCCGGGGAGGGCGCGUGGCGCGGCCCGCUGGGCUCUCGGUGGAGCGCGGACCUGCACUGGGCACGGGACCUAGUGUGGGGCCAGGAGUAGGUUUGGGCCGCUUUGGGGACCUGCUCGCCGCCCCUGGGGGAGUAAACUCUCUUUACCAGCGGGAAGGCGAAAGCGCGGUUGAACCGAGCGCCUGUGGCUUGCCUGGUAGGCCCGGGAGGGAGUUCGUGGACAGCGUUGACUUACAGGAGACUUCGAGACCCCCUAGAAAUGCCAGAAAGAUGGGUGGGCUCGUGAGGCCCCAGGGAGACCGCGGGUGGCCCUCCGUGGAGCGCGCUGCGUCCUCACCGGAGAUUCCCACCGAAGUUAGAGGCUUUGAUGCGAGGUGUAGGCACUCGCCUCGCAGAGUGACCCGCACGUUAAUUUAAGGUGCCUCCCAUGGUAUGGAGAAAUUUCUUCUUGCUUUCACCUUCAUGACAUUGCACUCCUUUGGCAGUUGUUGAAGAAAGAAUUGAGAUACUGCCACUUGCAACAAGAAAUUCUCAUAAAGUGCCUUCCUCAUCAGUUGAGAUAAUAUAUGAGAAAACUUCAAAUCUAUGCUGGGCUGCCAAGUAUGUGUGGUCCUAAUAUAGACUGUUUUAUUAAAUAACUUGAGCUUUAAUUGACAUACAAUAAACUACAUAUAUUUAAAGUGUACAAUUUGGUAAGUUUUGACUUAUGUAUGCACCAG